GUGGGGAAUAUUGGACAAUGGGCGAAAGCCUGAUCCAGCCAUGCCGCGUGUGUGAAGAAGGUCUUCGGAUUGUAAAGCACUUUAAGUUGGGAGGAAGGGCAGUAAGUUAAUACCUUGCUGUUUUGACGUUACCGACAGAAUAAGCACCGGCUAACUUCGUGCCAGCAGCCGCGGUAAUACGAAGGGUGCAAGCGUUAAUCGGAAUUACUGGGCGUAAAGCGCGCGUAGGUGGUUCAGCAAGUUGGAGGUGAAAUCCCCGGGCUCAACCUGGGAACUGCCUCCAAAACUACUGAGCUAGAGUACGGUAGAGGGUAGUGGAAUUUCCUGUGUAGCGGUGAAAUGCGUAGAUAUAGGAAGGAACACCAGUGGCGAAGGCGACUACCUGGACUGAUACUGACACUGAGGUGCGAAAGCGUGGGGAGCAAACAGGAUUAGAAACCCUAGUAGUCC
rnacentral:rRNA from 1 species